UACGUAGGGCGCAAGCGUUGUCCGGAAUUAUUGGGCGUAAAGAGCUCGUAGGCGGCCUGUCGCGUCCGCUGUGAAAUCCCGGGGCUUAACCCCGGGCGUGCAGUGGAUACGGGCUGGCUGGAGGCAGGCAGGGGAGAACGGAAUUCCCGGUGUAGCGGUGAAAUGCGCAGAUAUCGGGAGGAACACCGGUGGCGAAGGCGACAUCCUGGACCGGUAUUGACGCUGAGGCGCGAAAGCCAGGGGAGCAAACGGG
rnacentral:rRNA from 1 species